GUAAUAACUUCAGCCUGGAGGAUAUUUAACAGUUUUUUAGAGGAUGGGCUGCCAGAGUUUUUGUGUGAUUUAAUCAUCUCCUUGUUGACUGAAGCUGUAGUGCUGCUACAACUGCUAGAGAAGACCAGGCCAGACCUUUGAGGACUCUGAUUUCUUCUGAAGAUCUGGAGCAUAGAGCGCAGAGAAGAGAGAGGGCAAUGGGCAGCUAUGUUAUAUGUAUGUGUGUAUAUACACACAUGUAUGCAUUUUGUGCUUCUGCUCAGCCUACUUCUAAAGAACUUCAAUGUGCCUAAAUAUGCGGAGUGAAACGCAAGCGAUUCCCGCGUUGCCCAGAGCCUCUUGCCACGCCGAUUACGCACAAGUUCCUCGCUGAGCAACUUCAAGCCUGCACCAGGGGCCGCAACACGCAGCUGCCCUACAAGCGUCUGUCGUUCGGCUUUUACUCGCAGGGUCAGAGGCUCCCUCUUUUCUCUUCUGCGGCCCUGCCGUGCCUUCAGGAACCUCUUUUCCCCGGCGGGAUGUUCCCCGGCUGCUGCAGGUGGUGGGAGCCAGCCAGGGCUGGAGUCUUCGGUGGCUCCGUUGCAUCUGCGGCUCGUAGGGCUGACGCCAGCGCUCCUCUCGCUGAAAAAAAUCCUCCUUCGGUCCCUGAAAAGCGGAGGAAAACAGGCAAGACUCAGCCCAGCCCUUAGAAUGGUUAGACGUUCCCCCAUCAGUGACCCACGCCAGCGAAGGGACAGGGGCCGCAAGAGCUGGAAGGGCAGCCGGGGAGCGAGUUGGUGCUGCUGCUUUCUUUUCUCCUUGCUCAGUGCCUACGAGCAAAAGCAGCAUUGCAGCAAUGUAACACGAGAGCAGCUCUAA
rnacentral:lncRNA from 1 species